UAGAGUGUAGCUCAGUGGUAGAGUGUGUGCUUAGCAUGCAUAAGGCCCUUGGGUUUGCUCCCCAGCAUCAUAC
rnacentral:tRNA from 1 species